GUGGGGAAUUUUGGACAAUGGGCGCAAGCCUGAUCCAGCAAUGCCGCGUGCAGGAAGAAGGCCUUCGGGUUGUAAACUGCUUUUGUACGGAACGAAAAGGCUCUGGUUAAUACCUGGGGCUCAUGACGGUACCGUAAGAAUAAGCACCGGCUAACUACGUGCCAGCAGCCGCGGUAAUACGUAGGGUGCAAGCGUUAAUCGGAAUUACUGGGCGUAAAGCGUGCGCAGGCGGUUUUGUAAGACAGAGGUGAAAUCCCCGGGCUCAACCUGGGAACUGCAUGUGUGACUGCAUAGCUAGAGUACGGCAGAGGGGGAUGGAAUUCCGCGUGUAGCAGUGAAAUGCGUAGAUAUGCGGAGGAACACCGAUGGCGAAGGCAAUCCCCUGGGCCUGUACUGACGCUCAUGCACGAAAGCGUGGGGAGCAAACAGGAUUAGAAACCCUAGUAGUCC
rnacentral:rRNA from 1 species